rnacentral:rRNA from 1 species
CCCUUAGAUGUUCUGGGCUGCACGCGCGCUACACUGACACACCCAGCGAGUCUCCUGCCCUGACAGGGUUGGAUAAUCAUUGGAGUGUGUGUCGUGAUGGGGAUAGAGUAUUGCAAUUAUUGCUCUCGAACGAGGAAUUCCUAGUAAGCACAAGUCAGCAGCUUGUGCUGAUUACGUCCCUGCCCUUUGUACACACCGCCCGUCGCUCCUACCGAGGGGGUGAUCCGGUGAAUGGUUCGGACUUUGGCGUUUCUAGCUGCUAGCAGCGCUGAAGAAAGUUUUGUGAACCUUAUCACUUGGAGGAAGGAGAAGUCGUAACA